rnacentral:sRNA from 1 species
AGAGGCUUUGCUGACUGAGAUGAAGAGAUCUACCAGAUAUCUUGGGGCACUGCAGUGCCGGAUCUAGUGUGUGAUAAAAGUCAGCAAUUUUUAAAACAAUUUUACAGCAACACUGUGCAAUUUUUUAAGGCCAUUAAAUGAGAUUUGAAGCAUGUAGAUCAAUAUUGUCAACUCAAACUUUCUCCAAUUGAAACUAUGCCACUCUCAGAACCAUGACUCCCCAUCUCCCCUGACCUUGGCAACCAUCGUUCUACUUAGAACCAUCGUUCUAAGUGGGAGCAUGUGACAUGUGUCCAGAGACUGGCUGGCUUUUGCUUAACAAAAGGUCCUUAACAUCCUCGAGAACACAGUAUCCCUUGGUAUAUGUGCAGCGUAUCUUCUCUCUCCUCUUAUCCAUGAACUCUGAAAUUAUUUCCAGUGUCUUGGCCAUUGGAAUAUCAUUGCUAUGAGCACAAGUGGAACUCUCCUAAACAUGGUGGCUCCCGUUCUUUUUAGACAACUGCCCACAUGGGAGACUGCUACUUUGUAAACUGUUUUCUGGAUUUUAUUCUUGGAUAAUCACCAGCUUAAGAGACUUGAGCUCCUUUCUAUAGGUUGAUGUCGUUAUGCAGGUGAAGGCAGACAAGAUAAAACGAAGCCUGUCACUGGACGAGAAGGAAGGAAGGCAGAAACAGAGGCUUUAGGAGGAGAGGGAGAUGCAGGUGAGAAGGAGCGAGGAGAAUCAAGAUGGAGAUGAAGGAUGACGCAGACGUGGGUGGCCUUGAAUCCAGAAUCAACUAAGGGCCAAGCAGCCAGGAAUGUCUGUGAAGGAGUUACUUGAUUGGAUCAUUCGAGGUGAGAAGAUCAACCCUAAAUACAGCCAUGGUGUCGGGACAACACUCUCCUCAAACAAGUUAAAGUCUUCCUCUCAGCCUGAGCUUAAGGAGGAACGGUGCAAAUUCUCUCUGUUUUUGUGUGUUCAGAUUCUCCAUUUCCCUAAGAUUCAGUCCUGGGGUGGGAUGUGGUUUUAGACAACUGUCCAUUUCUUCUAGUUUGUUCAAUUUGUUGCCAUAUAGUUACAUAUAGAAAUCUUUUAGCCCGGGUGGUGGCGGCAUAUGUCUUUAAUGUCAGCAUUGGUGAGGCAGAGGCAGUUGGAUCUCUGUGAGUUUGAGGCCAACCUCGUUUAUAAAGUCCAGCACGAUGGCCAAUACUCUACAGAGAAACCUAGUCUCAGAAACAAAACAAAACAAAACCGUUUAUAAUCUUAAUUCACAAUACCCACUGUAGUGCAUUUCCUAUUUUAUUUGUAUUUUAACUAAAAGUUUGUCAGUAUUCUUAAUGCUUAAGAAAGCUGGAAUUCUUUGUAUGGCACACCACAAAUCAUGUUCUCUCCUUUAUGUCAUUUAACUCUGCUUUGCUGUAUUUCGCUGAGGUCUUAUUCACCUGCAGGAGCCCACUAUGACUACAGGUUUGUCCUGCUGAACUGAAUUGAGGAGGACAGAAAGGGGCUGCCCUCCACAUGGUGCUCCAGGGCGGCUUCCCAUGCUAACCAUACCACUACUGCUGGCUGUAUGGUUCAAGAAAACAUUAACGCUUAGCCUUGACCUCUCCGGAACACUGCAGAUGCAAAGUGUGGAGCACGACGAGAACUCAG